rnacentral:rRNA from 1 species
CAGCCGCGGUAAUACGUAGGGGGCAAGCGUUAUCCGGAUUUACUGGGUGUAAAGGGAGCGUAGACGGCAGUGCAAGUCUGAAGUGAAAGCCCGGGGCUCAACCCCGGGACUGCUUUGGAAACUGUGCAGCUAGAGUGUCGGAGAGGCAAGCGGAAUUCCUAGUGUAGCGGUGAAAUGCGUAGAUAUUAGGAGGAACACCAGUGGCGAAGGCGGCUUGCUGGACGAUGACUGACGUUGAGGCUCGANAGCGUGGGGAGCANACAGGAUUAGAUACCCUGGUAGUCCACGCCGUANACGAUGACUACUAGGUGUCGGGGAGCANNGCUCUUCGGUGCCGCAGCCAACGCNAUNAGUAGUCCACCUGGGGAGU